UACGUAGGCAGCAAGCGUUGUUCGGAGUUACUGGGCGUAAAGGGUGUGUAGGCGGUUCUUUAAGUUUGGUGUGAAAUCUCCCGGCUUAACCGGGAGGGUGCGCCGAAUACUGAGGGACUAGAGUACGGGAGAGGAAAGUGGAAUUCUUGGUGUAGCGGUGAAAUGCGUAGAUAUCAGGAGGAACACCGGUGGUGUAGACGGCUUUCUGGACCGUAACUGACGCUGAGACACGAAAGCGUGGGUAGCAAACAGG
rnacentral:rRNA from 1 species